rnacentral:rRNA from 1 species
UUGCCCGAUGACCUGAAUAUCCGUUAUGGAAAAUUCAUCAUUAGAAUUGUAAUAUUUAAAUAAUAUUAUGAUAAUAGUGUGCAUUUUUUCCAUAUAAGGACAUUGUAAUCUAUUAGCAUAUCCAAAUUUAUCAUAAAAUAUGGCUUAUAGUUUAUUCAAAUUAUUAUGCUUGCAUUUUAACAUAGAAUAAAUGUCAUUAAUUUGAUAAAGUGCUGAUAGAUUUAUAUGACUACAGUGCGUUAAUUUUUCGGAAUUAUAUAAUGGCAUGAUUAUCAAUGAUUUUUGUGUUUAUUAUAUGCAC